GAGUUUGAUCGUGGCUCAGGAUGAACGCUGGCGGCGUGCCUAAUACAUGCAAGUCGAACGCUUCACUUCGGUGAAGAGUGGCGAACGGGUGAGUAAUACAUAAGUAACCUGGCAUCUACAGGGGGAUAACUGAUGGAAACGUCAGCUAAGACCGCAUAGGUGUAGAGAUCGCAUGAACUCUAUAUGAAAAGUGCUACGGGACUGGUAGAUGAUGGACUUAUGGUGCAUUAGCUGGUUGGUGGGGUAACGGCCUACCAAGGCGACGAUGCGUAGCCGACCUGAGAGGGUGACCGGCCACACUGGGACUGAGACACGGCCCAGACUCCUACGGGAGGGCAGCAGUAGGGAAUUUUCGGCAAUGGGGGAAACCCUGACCGAGCAACGCCGCGUGAAGGAAGAAGUAAUUCGUUAUGUAAACUUCUGUCAUAGAGGAAGAACGGUGGAUAUAGGGAAUGAUAUCCAAGUGACGGUACUCUAUAAGAAAGCCACGGCUAACUACGUGCCAGCCGCCGCAGUAA
rnacentral:rRNA from 1 species